rnacentral:rRNA from 1 species
AAACCAACAGGGAUUGCCUUAGUAACGGCGAGUGAAGCGGCAAAAGCUCAAAUUUGAAAUCUGGCGCCUUCGGUGUCCGAGUUGUAAUUUGAAGAAGGUAACUUUGGAGUUGGCUCUUGUCUAUGUUCCUUGGAACAGGACGUCACAGAGGGUGAGAAUCCCGUGCGAUGAGAUGCCCAACUCUAUGUAAAGUGCUUUCGAAGAGUCGAGUUGUUUGGGAAUGCAGCUCUAAGUGGGUGGUAAAUUCCAUCUAAAGCUAAAUAUUGGCGAGAGACCGAUAGCGAACAAGUACAGUGAUGGAAAGAUGAAAAGAACUUUGAAAAGAGAGUGAAAAAGUACGUGAAAUUGUUGAAAGGGAAGGGCUUGAGAUCAGACUUGGUAUUUUGCGAUCCUUUCCUUCUUGGUUGGGUUCUCCGCAGCUUACUGGGCCAGCAUCGGUUUGGAUGGUAGGAUAAUGAUUAAGGAAUGUGGCUCUACUUCGGUGGAGUGUUAUAGCCUUGGUUGAUACUGCCUGUCUAGACCGAGGACUGCGUCUUGACUAGGAUGCUGC